rnacentral:rRNA from 1 species
CAAGUCGAACGGCAGCACGGACUUCGGUCUGGUGGCGAGUGGCGAACGGGUGAGUAACAUAUCGGAACGUAUCCAAUAAUGGGGGAUAACUAAUCGAAAGGUUGGCUAAUACCGCAUACGCCCUACGGGGGAAAGCUAGGGACCUUCGGGCCUGGCGUUAAUGGAGCGGCCGAUAUCUGAUUAGCUAGUUGGUGGGGUAAAGGCCCACCAAGGCGACGAUCAGUAGCUGGUCUGAGAGGACGACCAGCCACACUGGAACUGAGACACGGUCCAGACUCCUACGGGAGGCAGCAGUGGGGAAUUUUGGACAAUGGGCGCAAGCCUGAUCCAGCCAUUCCGCGUGAGUGAAGAAGGCCUUCGGGUUGUAAAGCUCUUUCGCAAGGGAAGAAAACUUAGAUACUAAUAUUAUCUGAGGUUGACGGUACCUUGAUAAGAAGCACCGGCUAACUACGUGCCAGCAGCCGCGGUAAUACGUAGGGUGCGAGCGUUAAUCGGAAUUACUGGGCGUAAAGCGUGCGCAGGCGGUUUUGUAAGUCAGAUGUGAAAUCCCCGAGCUCAACUUGGGAACUGCGUUUGAAACUACAAGACUAGAAUAUGUCAGAGGGGGGUAGAAUUCCACGUGUAGCAGUGAAAUGCGUAGAGAUGUGGAGGAAUACCAAUGGCGAAGGCAGCCCCCUGGGAUAAUAUUGACGCUCAUGCACGAAAGCGUGGGGAGCAAACAGGAUUAGAUACCCUGGUAGUCCACGCCCUAAACGAUGUCUACUAGUUGUUGGUGGAGUAAAAUCCAUGAGUAACGCAGCUAACGCGUGAAGUAGACCGCCUGGGGAGUACGGUCGCAAGAUUAAAACUCAAAUGAAUUGACGG